CUCUUAUUACUACAUAUUAUCAUUAGUUUUAGUCACUUAUCAAUAACUAUUUUUACAUUCACCUCCCCCAACCAUGGACCGCUGUUGGGGUCGAGACGACUGUACACACCCAACGAAUGCGCUGGCAGAGACGCCAGCAGAGGAGAUUACAGUCUGCCCAAAGUGACAUGCAUGUGCUGCCUAUGGCUGCAUAACAGCAGUCAGCAGGCAAACGCAUGCAACCAUAAGUUAAAUAGCAGCCCUAAAAAUAUUGUAUAUAAUGCUAAGGAAAGUAUCGAUACAAUAAAAUAUAUUUAUCGGAGCGUGAGCUGGCUCCCCUGAACCUGCUGGUUCAGAUUCAGGUGGGAGCUGGUUCACGUUCCGAUAAACUAGUACACGUGUGCCACCGCAGCAUACGACAAGCAAAAAAAUGUGCCAACUGUAAAGGCCCUCAUGCUGCCAGCUAUAGAGGAUGCAUUGCGUUUAAAAACGCUGCAAGAAGAAGAGCUCCAAGCGAUGUACAGCGUGCAAACAAUCUGUUGACGGGACUAGGUAUGCCAGCACUACCUUUGCCCUCAACACGACCUAAACGUCGUCAACGCCAGCCAAGUGUUCAUCGCUCACAAAGCCACCUUCGUCAAAACAGUCGCCUGCGUCCUGAAUCAGGACCUGCUCCCAUUGUCAAUCAGCAAAGCUACGCUGAUGUUACCAGAGGACGUCGGCAAGGGGCUGAAGUAUUAACUCUACAGCAACAACGUCGAUCCCGUUCUAGAGCCCAAGCCGUUUCCACUGUUCGUAGGCAACAAUCUGUAAACUACAAUCAAUCCUUAAAUCGCAGUCAAAGCGCAGCCAACUUUGNGUGGUUUGUACGUAUAUGACUUAAGUUCG
rnacentral:lncRNA from 1 species